rnacentral:rRNA from 1 species
UACGAAGGGGACUAGCGUUGUUCGGAAUCACUGGGCGUAAAGCGCACGUAGGCGGAUUCGUAAGUCAGGGGUGAAAUCCCGGGGCUCAACCUCGGAACUGCCUUUGAUACUGCGGGUCUUGAGUCCGAUAGAGGUGGGUGGAAUUCCUAGUGUAGAGGUGAAAUUCGUAGAUAUUAGGAAGAACACCGGUGGCGAAGGCGGCCCACUGGAUCGGUACUGACGCUGAGGUGCGAAAGCGUGGGGAGCAAACGGG